rnacentral:rRNA from 3 species
UACGUAGGGUGCAAGCGUUAAUCGGAAUUACUGGGCGUAAAGCGUGCGCAGGCGGUUUUGUAAGUCUGUCGUGAAAGCCCCGGGCUCAACCUGGGAAUUGCGAUGGAGACUGCAAGGCUUGAAUCUGGCAGAGGGGGGUAGAAUUCCACGUGUAGCAGUGAAAUGCGUAGAGAUGUGGAGGAACACCGAUGGCGAAGGCAGCCCCCUGGGUCAAGAUUGACGCUCAUGCACGAAAGCGUGGGGAGCAAACAGG